GAUGAAUAACGCAGCGAAAUGCGAUACGUAAUGUGAAUUGCAGAAUUCAGUGAAUCAUCGAAUCUUUGAACGCAUAUUGCGCUCUCUGGUAUUCCGGAGAGCAUGCUUGUUUGAGUAUCAGUAAACACCUCAACUUCCAUAUCUUUUUUGAAAUGGGAGUUGGACUUGAGUGAUCCCAACGCUUUUCCUCACCGAAAAGUGGCGGGUUACUUGAAAUGCAGGUGCAGCUGGACUUUUCUCUGAGCUAUAAGCAUAUCUAUUUAGUCUGCCUAAAAAACAGAUUAUUACCUUUGCUGCAGCUAACAUAAAGGAGAUUAGUUCUUGUGCUGACUGAUGCAGGAUUCACAAAGACAGCUUCGGCCGACUUUGUAAACUCGAUCUCAAAUCAAGUAAGACUACCCGCUGAACUUAAGCAUAUCAAUAAGCGGAGGA
rnacentral:misc_RNA from 1 species